rnacentral:rRNA from 1 species
UACGAAGGGGGCUAGCGUUGUUCGGAAUUACUGGGCGUAAAGGGCUCGUAGGUGGCCAACUAAGUCAGACGUGAAAUCCCCCGGCUUAACCGGGGAACUGCGUCUGAUACUGGAUGGCUUGAGUUCGGGAGAGGGAUGCGGAAUUCCAGGUGUAGCGGUGAAAUGCGUAGAUAUCUGGAGGAACACCGGUGGCGAAGGCGGCAUCCUGGACCGACACUGACGCUGAGGAGCGAAAGCCAGGGGAGCAAACGGG